CAUAUAGCAGGAUCAUUUGGUUCUUAUGUUUAGUUCCACAGGAUGGACCAAUGACAGCAUCCAACUCUUCUUGGACUUGUUCUGCAGAACAAAAGGGCUAAUAAUGAGUAUUUAAGAAGAUGCACCAUCAUGGAGAGCUCAGCAUAAGGUGAUGGUGGUGUCUGAGCCCACUAUGAAGAGGUACAUGAUCUCUCAGAUCUGUGAUGUAGAGGAGUGCAUACUGAGUUGAGGAAGUUGGUAAGACAGCAGCCAUGUAGCUCUGUUAAAAAAUAAUCUUGCUGACUGAGAAAGACAGCACACAUGCGCAUCAACUCUGAUGAUUACUGACACUUGCAACACCUUCCCAAAACAAGCAGAACUCUGGGGAAGAGAAACUUCUGUCUUAGAGCAACCUGCAAAAUCGUAACACCACAGGACUCCUCUGUCUCAACCUUUCUACAUCUGCAGGAUAUGAUCUUCAAGCAGUUGUUUAACUGGUUCUCUUGGAAACAGCUACAUAGAACCAAAGGCACUUACAGGAGGUUGGGAGGUGGUACCCAAAUUAAGCAUGUCAUUCACAAUUCCUCUGAAUCAUGUUCUUUACAUGAUCCUCAUAGAUAAAUGAUUGCUGUAAGUGCAGCAAAACCACUAAUCAAUAUUUUCUGGUCUGUACUCUGUUGGAUUGUACCAAUGUCUCUUUUGAGGGUGGUAACAGAAAGCAGCAGCCCACAGCCAGUGAAAGUAUACAAUGGAAGUGGUAAUCCUGGCAGCUUUAGUAGUAAGAUAGGUAAUACCAUUUCCUCUCUGCAACUCUAAUCACAAGAAAACAGAAGUGAAGCUUUCUACAGCAGAAAAGAGAUUACAUCCUUUUAACUGCCUUUUUUGUAACCUUGCACUAUUACUGCAAUCAAUAAUUUCAAGAAAGCUUAUUCCCUAAUUCUUAUAUCUUGUAUAGUGAUAUGGUCAUCUCUGCAUGCUCUGCUGCACAUUAACAAGCUACAUAUAACAAACCCCUCUGAAGGAAUAUUGAGUGCUAAUGUAUGAUAGCACAGGUUGUUCCCAGGUUCCCAGCACUGAUGCGUUGACACUGAACAACACUGA